ensembl:snoRNA
AUCCCUUCGUAGCUUAUAAGCACAAUGAUUGAGUGUUCACACUGUUGUGUGACACGCGCCUCCCUCAGAUCUCAUUGCAAUAUUGGCACAUCACCCACGUGAAA